GGGACAUUGGCGCAGCGGAAGCGCGCGCGCGUGCGAAGCGCGAGGUCGGGGGUUCGAGUCCCUCAUGUCCCA
rfam:Plesiocystis pacifica SIR-1 1103186006290, whole genome shotgun sequence.